UCGGCCAGAAAGCUGCAAUCGGUGCACCGCUAAUAUUGAGAAACCGAAGCGAUCGGCUGCCGUGGUUCUGAAGAACCGCUCACAUUAACGUCAGCCGGCAGCUCAUUAAAGCGGCGCGGCCUCGGCCUGAAACUCAGCGGCUCCGCAGAGCUAGCCCCCCUGCUCAAUAAGGCCAAACCUGCAGCGAGGAUAUUAGUCUGACAGCAGAAGAUAAUUUGUCAAAACCUUAUUUUAAAGCUCUAUGAAUGUCAUCCUGUGUUGUGGCUCUUAAUUGAAAUGUAGUUUGCCAAGCAGGAAAAUAUAUGAGUGCACAUGCAGGGUGUUGGCAGGAUGUUUUAUGGGGACGCUAACCACACCUGGUUAGUGUUAGCAUCCUGACUGUGUACUUUGCAUACCUUCGUGUCACUUUUACCUUAAAUUAUCCCACAACGUUUUUCUUUAAUUCAUGAGAAUCUGAGAUUUUCUGAUAAAUCUUGAAGUCAGAGCAGAGAUAACCAUUAGCUUUACAGUGAUAUGUUAUUUUCCAAACGGUGAGAUUUAUAUUAGUUUACCCUCCAAUCUUCAAUCUUGCCCAGUUAUGAACCUCGCUGCCCCUCCCCCACUGGUUCCUGAACCCACUUGUACGUUCUCGGCCUCCAUAAUAAACCAACAUCUGCAGAACUUACAAGUGCUUUAGCUGCAGUUAAUUGAGUAAAUUGAAGCAAGCUGCAGCGCGGCGCUGAUCUAUGAUCCCCCGUUGAGGGCCCAGAAGGGAGACAACAGAUUUACUGCGAGGACAGUGGGCGGCCUUUUGUUCAGGUCCUGGUUCAUGGGAAGUUUGAGGUCAGAAGGGAUUAAAAUAUUUUAGAGAACAAAUGGAGCAAUUUGAGUGCAAUAUUAGAAGCUCUCUGCCAGUUCUUACCAGGAAUCCAGGUGUGAUUUAUUUAAUUUUAAGCUCUGUUUGUUUUUUCGUCCUUUUUUUUUUUUUGCCUAUUUCUUGAUAUUUGGGGUUAAUUUUUAAAACCGUUGAUUAGCUCUUUUAAGUUUUAGCUCUUAUGGGUCAAGGAAAAAUAAAGUACAUCCUCUGUUU